CCUACGGGCGGCAGCAGUGGGGAAUAUUGGACAAUGGGGGGAACCCUGAUCCAGCCAUGCCGCGUGUGUGAAGAAGGCCCUCGGGUUGUAAAGCACUUUCAGUGAGGAAGAACGCCUGGUGGUUAAUACCCAUCAGGAAAGACAUCACUCACAGAUGAAGCACCGGCUAACUCCGUGCCAGCAGCCGCGGUAAUACGGAGGGUGCGAGCGUUAAUCGGAAUUACUGGGCGUAAAGCGCGCGUAGGUGGCUUGAUAAGCCGGUUGUGAAAGCCCCGGGCUCAACCUGGGAACGGCAUCCGGAACUGUCAAGCUAGAGUGCAGGAGAGGAAGGUAGAAUUCCCGGUGUAGCGGUGAAAUGCGUAGAGAUCGGGAGGAAUACCAGUGGCGAAGGCGGCCUUCUGGACUGACACUGACACUGAGGUGCGAAAGCGUGGGUAGCAAACAGGAUUAGAUACCCUUGUAGUC
rnacentral:rRNA from 1 species